rnacentral:lncRNA from 1 species
UAGAUUUAUGGCUUGCACCGAAUCGGGUAAGGGGUAGGAGCUCUGAAAUCGACCUAGAUAAACAGCUUCGUUUCUACCGUACAGAUUGUCUGAAAAAGGGAGAGAAGGGGUCGACCAUGGCUAUGAGCUCACAAAACUCCUUCGCCCCUUUCGCCUAGAUAAGCAGUGUUCAGUUUUUCGAAUGAGGGUAAGCGGUCGAAUUUGGCUGAAAAUGAGAGAGACGCG